rnacentral:rRNA from 1 species
UGCAAGUCGAACGGAGCUGAGGAGCUUGCUUUCAGCUUAGUGGCGGACGGGUGAGUAACGCGUGAGUAACCUGCCUCUGAGAGUGGAAUAACGUUUUGAAAAGAACGCUAAUACCGCAUAACACUAUGAAGUCGCAUGGCUUUAUAAUCAAAGAUUUUUAUCGCUCGGAGAUGGACUCGCGUCCGAUUAGUUAGUUGGUGAGGUAACGGCUCACCAAGACCGCGAUCGGUAGCCGGACUCGAGAGGUUGAUCGGCCACAUUGGGACUGAGACACGGCCCAGACUCCUACGGGAGGCAGCAGUGGGGGAUAUUGCGCAAUGGGGGCAACCCUGAACCGCAGCAACGCCGCGUGAAGGAUGAAGGUUUUCGGAUUGUAAACUUCUUUUAUCAGGGACGAAGAAUGACGGUACCUGAAGAAUAAGCUCCGGCUAACUACGUGCCAGCCGCUGC